CUUAGUCUCUUGGCUUGCUCCAUCCCAUGAUACUUUGCAGCAGGGCAAAGAGUCUUGUGUGACAAAGAUACAAGUGGCAGUAUUCUGGCUAUGUUGAUAAGUUUACUUCUUGUUACUGAAUAGCAAUUUUCCUGUUGCCAUUUAUAGUCAAAAAAUAAAGAAAGAAAGAGAAAGAAGAGACAUGCUUGCUAGAUUCCAGCCCUUAUAAAUAAUGUGAAAUUGUAAAAAUAACCUUGAGAAAGCAUUCCAUUUUGAUUCAAAUAAUUACAAUGUAGUUUGUAGAAAAUGCUUAAAUAGAAACACAAAGCACCAUAGUCACUAUGACUUAUUGUAGUGGUUAUAUUUGCAGUUCUUCUGCUUUUUGUCAAAUCAUUUUCAAGUGGUUUGCCACUUGCAUCUCAG